UUGAUUGAUUCAAAUAUGUACUCGGACGCAAAGAUGCAGGGUUGAGGGUCCACGGGGGGCCCCGAGCCCGAAGGCCGGGUCGCCCCCGAGGCAACAGAGUGGUUUCACAAAGGGUUGGAGGUCGGGCCGGAGGGCCCUCACUCAGUAAUGAUCCCUCCGCAGGUUCACCUACGGAGA
rnacentral:misc_RNA from 1 species